AGUGAACGCUGGCGGUAGGCCUAACACAUGCAAGUCGAACGGCAGCACAGUAAGAGCUUGCUCUUACGGGUGGCGAGUGGCGGACGGGUGAGGAAUACAUCGGAAUCUACUUUUUCGUGGGGGAUAACGUAGGGAAACUUACGCUAAUACCGCAUACGACCUACGGGUGAAAGCAGGGGAUCUUCGGACCUUGCGCGAUUGAAUGAGCCGAUGUCGGAUUAGCUAGUUGGCGGGGUAAAGGCCCACCAAGGCGACGAUCCGUAGCUGGUCUGAGAGGAUGAUCAGCCACACUGGAACUGAGACACGGUCCAGACUCCUACGGGAGGCAGCAGUGGGGAAUAUUGGACAAUGGGCGCAAGCCUGAUCCAGCCAUACCGCGUGGGUGAAGAAGGCCUUCGGGUUGUAAAGCCCAUUUGUUGGGGAAGAAAAGCAGCAGGUUAAUACCCCGCUGUUCUGACGGUACCCAAAGAAUAAGCACCGGCUAACUUCGUG
rnacentral:rRNA from 1 species